GGCACUGCGAUUUCACGGUCGCUAUCGCUUCGUCCCGUCACGCAAACUCGUCCCGUCCUUGUUGUCGAACAGCUUUUUCAACGCUACCUUCUUCUUCUUCGUCAUUAUCUUCGCCGGACGGCCGCUACCGGCCUUCCGCUCCACGCUCAGGGAUGCCAGGAUCCGGUAAACUGUACUCACGGGCACGUUUUCGUCUCGAAAGUGGUCUACCGUAAACUGUUUUUCCACGAUGACCAUGCGUUUCGUAAAACCGUACAACACGCUCGCGGAGUGCUUGCUGUUUCGACGCCAUCUUCGAUUGAACUGACAGCACCCGAGCAAAAAGAAACAUGCCACCCAUUUUUAGGGAGUCCAGAGAGCAAUUCUCUUGGAGAGAAAAAAAUUUACGCUCUUUACUUUAAUUACAGAAAG